rnacentral:rRNA from 1 species
UUAAGUCUAAGGGUUCCUGAUCAACGUUAAUCGGAUCAGGGUUAGUCGGGUCCUUAGGAAAACCCGAAAGGGGCAUCUGAUGGAAAACUGGUUAAUAUUCCAGUACCCGCUUUAGUUUCGAUGGGGUGACGCAGAAGUGAACAUCACACGAUGGAUACGGAAUUCCACGUUUAAGUACGUAGCUAUAUCUUUUACAGGCAAAUCCGUAAUUGAUGGCGAAAUACGAAAGUAUAUGAGGGCUUCGGCCCGAUUGAGUGAUCUAAUAGCUGCCGAGAAAAACCUCUAAGGUUAGGCUAGAGCGGCCCGUACCGCAAACCGACACAGGUAGACGAGAAGAAUAUUCUACGGCGCUCGGGUGAGCCGUGGAGAAGGAACUAGGCAAAUUGUGGCUGUAACUUCGGGAUAAAGCCAGCCUACUUCGGUAGGCCUCAGUAAAAUGGUUCAACCAACUGUUUAACAAAAACACAGGGCCCUGCAAAAUCGUAAGAUGACGUAUAGAGCCUGAUACCUGCCCGGUGCUGGAAGGUUAAGGAAGGAUGUUCGGCGCAAGCCAAAGCUUCUGACUGAAGCCCCAGUAAACGGCGGCCGUAACUAUAACGGUCCUAAGGUAGCGAAAUUCCUUGUCGGGUAAGUUCCGACCUGCACGAAUGGUCUAAUGAGUUGAACACUGUCUCCUCCACGAGCCCGGUGAAAUUGUAGUAUCGGUGAAGAUGCCGGUUACCCGUCACGGGACGGAAAGACCCCGUGAACCUUCACUACAACUUUGCAUUGAUUUUGGAUUACGGAUGUGUAGAAUAGUUGGGACUCUACGAAGCAGUGGCGCUAGCCAUUGUGGAGAGGUCGUUGAAAUACCAACCUUCUUUGAUUUAGAGUCUAACCCCUUGCGGGGAACAGUGCAUGGUGGGUAGUUUGACUGGGGUGGUCGCCUCCUAAAGUGUAACGGAGGCUUGCAAAGGUACCCUCAGUACGGUUGGUAAUCGUACGAAGAGCGCAUUAGUAUAAGGGUGCUUGACUGUGAGGCAUACAGGCCGAGCAGGAGCGAAAGCUGGCUAAAGUGAUCCGGCGGUUCUGUAUGGAAGGGCCGUCGCUCAAAGGAUAAAAGGUACUCCGGGGAUAACAGGCUGAUCUCCCCCAAGAGCUCAUAUCGACGGGGAGGUUUGGCACCUCGAUGUCGGUUCGUCACAUCCUGGGGCUGGAGAAGGUCCCAAGGGUUCGGCUGUUCGCCGAUUAAAGUGGCACGUGAACUGGGUUCAGAACGUCGCAAGACAGUUCGGUCCCUAUCUGUGAUGGGCGUUAGAAAAUUGAGUGGACAUGACCCUAGUACGAGAGGACCGGGUCGUACGUACCGCUGGUGUAUCUGUUGUGCCGCCAGGUGCAGUGCAGAGUAGCUAUGUACGGACAGGAUAAACGCUGAAAGCAUCUAAGCGUGAAACCUUCCACAAGAUGAGUUUUCUUUUAAGGGUCGUCAGAGACUAUGACGUUGAUAGGCUACAGAUAUAAAACUGGUAACAGUAAAGUCGAGUAGUACUAAUUGCCCGUAUGCUUUAA